rnacentral:rRNA from 1 species
UACUCCUACGGGGAGGCAGCAGUGGGGAAUAUUGCACAAUGGGCGCAAGCCUGAUGCAGCAACGCCGCGUGAGGGACGACGGCCUUCGGGUUGUAAACCUCUUUUAGUAGGGAAGAAGCGAAAGUGACGGUACCUGCAGAAAAAGCACCGGCUAACUACGUGCCAGCAGCCGCGGUAAUACGUAGGGUGCGAGCGUUGUCCGGAAUUAUUGGGCGUAAAGAGCUCGUAGGCGGUCUGUCGCGUCUGCUGUGAAAACCCGAGGCUCAACCUCGGGCCUGCAGUGGGUACGGGCAGACUAGAGUGCGGUAGGGGAGAAUGGAAUUCCUGGUGUAGCGGUGGAAUGCGCAGAUAUCAGGAGGAACACCGAUGGCGAAGGCAGUUCUCUGGCCGUAACUGACGCUGAGAGCGUAUGCUACUC